UAGGGAAUAUUGCUCAAUGGGGGGAAACCCUGAAGCAGCAACGCCGCGUGGAGGAUGAAGGUUUUCGGAUUGUAAACUCCUUUUGUUAGAGAAGAUAAUGACGGUAUCUAACGAAUAAGCACCGGCUAACUCCGUGCCAGCAGCCGCGGUAAUACGGAGGGUGCAAGCGUUACUCGGAAUCACUGGGCGUAAAGAGCGCGUAGGCGGGGUAGCAAGUCAGAUGUGAAAUCCUAUGGCCUAACUAUAGAACUGCAUUUGAAACUGUUACUCUAGAGUAUGGGAGAGGUAGGUGGAAUUCUUGGUGUAGGGGUAAAAUC
rnacentral:rRNA from 1 species